AACGCGAAGAACCUUACCUGGGCUUGAACCGCACAGGACCAGCUCUAGAAAUAGGGCCUUCUCGCAAGAGACCUGUGUAGAGGUGCUGCAUGGCUGUCGUCAGCUCGUGCCGUGAGGUGUUGGGUUAAGUCCCGCAACGAGCGCAACCCUUACUCAUAGUUGCUACCCGCAAGGGAGAACUCUAUGAGGACUGCUCCGGAUAACGGAGAGGAAGGUGGGGAUGAGGUCAAGUCAGCAUGGCCUUUAUGUCCAGGGCUACACACGUGUUACAAUGCGCGCCACAAAGCGUUGCAAACCCGCGAGGGGGAGCUAAUCGCAUAAAAGCGCGCUCAGUUCGGAUUGCAGUCUGCAACUCGACUGCAUGAAGCCGGAAUCGCUAGUAAUGGCGCAUCAGAACGGCGCCGUGAAUACGUUCCCGGGCCUUGUACACACCGCUAGUC
rnacentral:rRNA from 1 species